AUGGACGACAAGAGGGCCUUGUGUGAACCACCGCCCCUUCCUGCUGAAGUAGCAGUAGGUGAAUCUCAGGAGUCUCUCCGAGAUGUUGUGGAAAGAAUUAGGUCAGAGGUUGAAACACAAGCCAAGACUAUUGAUUCCCUGUGCAAAACUUUAUUCAUGCACGAGGCAGAGAGAACCCAGAAUCUCAAUACCAUGGCAGUCCUUCAAUCCGAGGUGCACCAUUUGGCUGCACAUGUUGCCGCUCAGCACCUUGAGGAGCGUUUUGAGGGCCUACGCUGUGAGGUCUCCACUGAGCUCCACUACUUGCGCAGCCUCCUGUCCCACUCUCUCUGCUCCUGUCCUACUCUCCAAGCCUCCUGCUCCAGCACUCACCCCUCAGACAUCCAGAGGCAGGCUGCCAUCAACCACAUCUCUCAGGAACUCUACCACAGUCGAAGAGUCCUGUGGGAGCAGAUUGCUGAGCUAAGGGAGGAAAUCCACAACAUUCAUGGCCUGCUUAAAAAACUAAGAGAUGAAACUAUGCGCAGAUUGACAGAGAAAUACUGCAAAGAUAUGUGCUUGGAGAGGAUGAUUGACAGCUAUCAGAUGAAGGACGACGCUCUCAAACUGCAGAGGCCUCAGGACAUGCUCAGGUCAAAUGCAAGGUCAGAUGUUUCUGAGUUACAGAAUAAGCUUCAGACUAUAACAAUAUCGAAAGGCAAGGCUCCCAAUAAAACAGGCCGAACUGAACGAAUAGGACAGAGGGUUAUGCCAGCCAAUUCAGAUUCAGAUGAAGGGCAAAGUGGAAUAUGUGCUAAAGGAAUGACACCAAAGAUCAAAGAGGAAAUCGAUGUGUCUGCCAGAAGGAAAUAA
ensembl:lncRNA